rnacentral:tRNA from 1 species
GCCCUGGUAGCUCAAUGGAUAGAGCACCGGCCUUCUAAGCCGUUUGUUGUGGGUUCAAAUCCCGCCCGGGGCG